rnacentral:tRNA from 1 species
AUUUAUAUAUAUAAUAUAUAAUAAGUCUGAUACAUUUAUAAUAUAUAUAUAAUAUAUAUAUAUAAAUA